rnacentral:rRNA from 1 species
UACGUAGGUGACAAGCGUUGUCCGGAUUUACUGGGCGUAAAGAGCGCGCAGGCGGUCGUUCAAGUCGACUGUGAAAGCCCCCGGCUCAACUGGGGAGGGUCACUCGAUACUGAUCGACUCGAAGGCAGGAGAGGGUAGUGGAAUUCCCGGUGUAGUGGUGAAAUGCGUAGAUAUCGGGAGGAACACCAGUGGCGAAGGCGACUACCUGGCCUGUUCUUGACGCUGAGGCGCGAAAGCUAGGGGAGCAAACGGG